AAAUAGAUACCCGGGUAGUCCAUGCCGUAAACGUUGGGAACUAGAUGUAGGGCCUGUUCCACGGGUUCUGUGUCGUAGCUAACGCAUUAAGUUCCCCGCCUGGGGAGUACGGCCGCAAGGCUAAAACUCAAAGGAAUUGACGGGGGCCCGCACAAGCGGCGGAGCAUGCGGAUUAAUUCGAUGCAACGCGAAGAACCUUACCAAGGCUUGACAUAUAGAAGAACACUGCAGAGAUGCAGGACUCUUUGGACACUUCUAUACAGGUGGUGCAUGGUUGUCGUCAGCUCGUGUCGUGAGAUGUUCGGUUAAGUCCGGCAACGAGCGCAACCCUCGUCCUAUGUUGCCAGCACGUAAUGGUGGGAACUCAUGGGAUACUGCCGUGGUCAACACGGAGGAAGGUGGGGAUGACGUCAAAUCAUCAUGCCCCUUAUGUCUUGGGCUUCACGCAUGCUACAAUGGCCGGUACAAAGAGCUGCGAUACCGCGAGGUGGAGCGAAUCUCAAAAAAGCCGGUCUCAGUUCGAGUU
rnacentral:rRNA from 1 species